rnacentral:tRNA from 1 species
CGGCACGUAGAGGAGAGGCCGUCCUCAUCGCACUGUCUAUGCGAAAAUCGUGGGUUCGAAUCCCAUCGUACUGACCA